AUUGAACGCUGGCGGCACGCCUUACACAUGCAGGUCGAACGGUAACAGGUCUUCGGAUGCUGACGAGUGGCGAACGGGUGAGUAAUGCAUCGGAACGUGCCCAGUUGUGGGGGAUAACUGCUCGAAAGAGCAGCUAAUACCGCAUACGACCUGAGGGUGAAAGCGGGGGAUCGCAAGACCUCGCGCAAUUGGAGCGGCCGAUGUCAGAUUAGGUAGUUGGUGGGGUAAAGGCCUACCAAGCCGACGAUCUGUAGUUGGUCUGAGAGGACGACCAGCCACACUGGGACUGAGACACGGCCCAGACUCCUACGGGAGGCAGCAGUGGGGAAUUUUGGACAAUGGGCGCAAGCCUGAUCCAGCAAUGCCGCAUGCAGGAAGAAGGCCUUCGGGUUGUAAACUGCUUUUGUCAGGGAAGAAAUCCUCUGGGUUAAUACCCCGGGGGGAUGACGGUACCUGAAGAAUAAGCACCGGCUAACUACGUGCCAGCCGCCGCCGUAACAC
rnacentral:rRNA from 1 species